rnacentral:rRNA from 1 species
GACGCUGGCGGUGUGCUUCACACAUGCAAGUCGAACGAGGUAGCAAUACCUAGUGGCGGACGGGUGAGUAACGCGUGGGAAUCUGCCUUUAGAUGGGGGAUAACGGGUCGAAAGACUCGCUAAUACCGCAUAUGACGAAAGUUGAAAGGAGUAAUCCGUCUAAAGAUGAGCCCGCGUCCGAUUAGCUAGUUGGUAGAGUAAAAGCCUACCAAGGCGACGAUCGGUAGCUGGUCUGAGAGGAUGAUCAGCCACAAUGGGACUGAGACACGGCCCAUACUCCUACGGGAGGCAGCAGUGGGAAUUUUACGCAAUGGGCGAAAGCCUGACGUAGCGACACCGCGUGAGCGAAGAAGCCCCUUGGGGUGUAAAGCUCUGUCAGCUGGAACGAAAAAAAUGACGGUACCAGCAGAGGAAGCAUCGGCUAACUACGUG